rnacentral:tRNA from 1 species
UCGCCGGUGGUGUAACGAACAUUGCUGCCCGGAAAGCAGAAGAUGCGGGUUCGAGUCCCGCCUGACGCA